rnacentral:rRNA from 1 species
ACGCUGGCGGCACGCCUAACACAUGCAAGUCGAACGAAGUAGCAAUACUUAGUGGCAGACGGGUGAGUAACAUGUAGGAAUCUUCCCUAUGGCCUGGAAUAACACGAGGAAACUUGUGCUAAUACCGGAUAAGUCUUUACAGAGAAAGCUUUAUGCACCAUUGGAUGAGCCUGCACUUGAUUAGUUUGUUGGUGGGGUAAUGGCCUACCAAGACUUUGAUCAAUAGCUGAUUUGAGAGGAUGAUCAGCCACAUUGGGACUGAGACACGGCCCAAACUCCUACGGGAGGCAGCAGUGGGGAAUCUUGCACAAUGGAGGAAACUCUGAUGCAGCGAUGCCGCGUGAGUGAAGAAGGCCUUUGGGUUGUAAAGCUCUUUCGUCGGGGAAGAAAAUGACUGUACCCGAAUAAGAAGGUCCGGCUAACUUCGUGCCAGCAGCCGCGGUAAUACGAAGGGACCUAGCGUAGUUCGGAAUUACUGGGCUUAAAGAGUUCGUAGGUGGUUGAAAAAGUUGGUGGUGAAAUCCCAGAGCUUAACUCUGGAACUGCCAUCAAAACUUUUCAGCUAGAGUUUGAUAGAGGAAAGCAGAAUUUCUAGUGUAGAGGUGAAAUUCGUAGAUAUUAGAAAGAAUACCAAUUGCGAAGGCAGCUUUCUGGAUCAUUACUGACACUGAGGAACGAAAGCAUGGGUAGCGAAGAGGAUUAGAUACCCUCGUAGUCCAUGCCGUAAACGAUGUGUGUUAGACGUUGGAAAUUUAUUUUCAGUGUCGCAGCGAAAGCAAUAAACACACCGCCUGGGGAGUACGACC